GGAGGUGUCCGAUAGUUGGUCAAUUCGGGGAGUUUGCUAAACUCCUGAGUCCAAAAGGCUCACGUGGGUUCGAAUCCCACCGCCUCCG
rnacentral:tRNA from 1 species